AAUAGUUCUUCUUUAGUAUUCCGGUAUCAUUCAUUAAGGCCUACAAAUGUUGUCCCCAACUCCUAAGUCAACUAAGUUACCAGAUGAAGAUUUGCCUUGCACGGGGAGGUAACUCCAUUAACACUGACUUAACAAUCACCAGAGGGCAUUUACACAAGUUGCUUUCGGCGGGAACUUCCAAGAAGAGUGUUUUUACUCAAAGAAGUUUCAUUUUUAAUUUCAUGGAUCUAUGUUUUAGAUUAUGGCACUAACCAGCACUGAAAAACAACGGCGCUAUCGACAGAAAAGAGAUCAGGAUGUC